rnacentral:rRNA from 1 species
GUACGUAGGCAGCGAGCGUUGUUCGGAAUUACUGGGCGUUAAAGAGUGUGUAGGCGGUGCUCCCAGUCUGUUGUGAAAUCUCCCGGCUUAACUGGGAGGGUGCAGCGGAAACUAGAGUGCUAGAGGGUGGGAGAGGGUAAGCGGAAUUCCUGGUGUAGCGGUGAAAUGCGUAGAUAUCAGGAGGAACACCUGUGGUGUAGACAGCUUACUGGACCACUUCUGACGCUGAGACACGAAAGCGUGGGUAGCAAACAGG